CUCAGUUUUCUUCCUGCUACCUGAGUCACGAAAGCCAUUCUGCACAUUCCUGGCAGGGCGUGUGUUCUCUGAGAAGGUGAGGUGUGAGAAGGGUUUGUACAAAUGGACUAUCUGUGGCUACUAGCCACAAUGGAAUACCUCCCCCUCAACCACCCUGAUUUUCCUGGAACGUCCCGGAAUUACAGAAGCAACUCCAGCUUCUGACUGGAUCCCAGAAUGUCCUGUUUCGGUACUGCACUCUCACGUUGAGUUGGCCCGACUCCCGCAAGAGCAUUGUGCUGAAAGACGCAUGGGAGAUCGUGGCACCAAAACUACACCCAUCCUGAGUUUAGCCAACAGUCUCGACUCUUGUGUUUUAGGGUAGAUUUACCCCACACAUUUAAAAGCACACUCAGUGCGCAUUUAAAGUGCAUGACUUCCCUCAAAGAAUCCUGGGAACUGUAGUUUCACCCCCACAAACUACAGUUCCUGGAGCUAUGUGCUUUAAAUGUGCAUCAAUUGCUUGGUGUGUGGCUCUGAAUCUUGUACUGAUCCUGCUCUGGUUUUGCAUUUAUUUCUACAACCGAUUUGUAGCUCUGGCUGCCAUGAAGCUUGUAACAGUCCAUCCCCUCCACAAGAGGAGUCAGGUGUCUCACUGCUGGGUAUCUACAAGUAAGAUAGACUUUUCAGCUCUCCCUGGCCUGAAGUGGUGGUGGCGGCGGCAUAUAUCUCCCCUUGUUUCC